GCUGACACAUCCCUGCCAAUCUCCGGCAGACCCUCCCUCCCAGACCCUCCCACCUCCUGGACAACAUCCAUGUUGAAGCUGCCUUCAACAUGGAUGCUGUCCAGGAAGUGGGAGGGUCUGGGAGGGAGGGUCUGCCGGAGAUUGGCAGGGAUGUGUCAG